rnacentral:rRNA from 1 species
CCUACGGGAGGCAGCAGUAGGGAAUCUUCCACAAUGGGCGAAAGCCUGAUGGAGCAACGCCGCGUGGGUGAAGAAGGUCUUCGGAUCGUAAAACCCUGUUGUUAGAGAAGAAAGUGCGUGAGAGUAACUGUUCACGUUUCGACGGUAUCUAACCAGAAAGCCACGGCUAACUACGUGCCCGCAGCCGCGGUAAUACGUAGGUGGCAAGCGUUAUCCGGCUUUAUUGGGCGUAAAGGGAACGCAGGCGGUCUGUUAAGUCUGAUGUGAAAGCCUUCGGCUUAACCGGAGUAGUGCAUUGGAAACUGGGAGACUUGAGUGCAGAAGAGGAGAGUGGAACUCCAGGUGUAGCGGUGAAAUGCGUAGAGAUAUGGAAGAACACCAGUGGCGAAAGCGGCUCUCUGGUCUGUAACUGACGCUGAGGUUCGAAAGCGUGGGUAGCAAACAGGAUUAGAUACCCUAGUAGUC